UAUUCCAAAAACGUAAGCUUGUCCGAUGCAUCGGUUGACAGACUCUCUCACGGUCACGGUCACGGUCACAGGCCAGCUUGCAGUCCCAUCCGCUUCUUCGGCUUUCCUUCCCCACUCCCCAGUACAUCUCCCCGCUUCCGGCGGUAAAAUUAGAACAAAAAAGCUACUAGUGGUGGUAGGGUAGGAGUAUAAUAAUUUGAGCUCCAGCCGGCUUCAACAGAAUUUGAUUUCUUUCCAGAUUCAUAAUCCUCCAUAUCUUCACCACUCGAGAUGUAAAUUUCUUCUUUGAUCACUCUUCUAAAUCUUCUGGAUCUCCUUUUCUACCCAAAAUUAUCACCUCCACCUGGAUCUCUCACCUCCAUUGUUAGUUUUUACCUCAAGUCCGUAAGCGUUUUCCUUUUCAAUCAUUUCUUUUUUUUACUUGCUCAUUUGUAAGUUAAAGUUGAAUCUCAGCUCUUCAUUUCUUUGUGAAGCUCAUUUUUCAGGUGAAUUUUUUUUCCUAAAAGUUAAUUAAUUUCGUGGAAUACCUCGAUUUUAACGAAGCUAUGCAGUAGGACUGUUGCAUUUUUCAUUUGAAACUUAUGCAUUUAACGUUGAAUUGGUUAAAUUUCUUUGUAAAUUUGUAAAAUUUUGAUUAAUUUAUGUAACGAAAUUAAUCAGCUCUAUGCUUUCUAGAUUAGUAAGGUAGUAGUAGAACUUAGUAAUAUAAAUGUCAUCGCUGCUAAGAACGCUGUCGCUGUACCACGAUCGGCCGUAUCAGAACGGAGGAAAUCAAUUUUCCGUUAACUCGCCGUCUCACAGGGCGUUAUCCAAUGCCAAAAGUUCGUCUCCGUUGUCGCCGUUCUUUCCCGGUGUACUUUCACAAAAAAGUUCGCGUAAAGGCAUGAGCUCGUGGAAAAAAUGGUUUUUUAGGUGUUUGAUAUUUUUCUCGCUGGGGUUUCUAUUAGGCAUGGCUCCCUUUGGGGGAUAUGAGGAUGUUAAAGGCCGUGAUUUCUCGUUCGAGGAGAAUACCAUGGCAAAGUCGGCAGAAAAUGAUGAGGGGGAUGUGAGGAAUUUGUUGGUUGUGGAGGCGAAAGGUGGGGAAGGUUUAGUCGUGGAUAAAGUUGAAUUACGGGUUGUUGAGGAAAAAGAAGUGAAGGAGCGGUUUGAUUUUGUUCCACGGAAGCAGUUGAUUGUGGUGACACCGACGUAUAAUAGGGCACUUCAAGCUUAUUAUUUAAAUAGGUUAGGACAGGUUCUGAGGCUGGUGCCGCCGCCAUUGUUAUGGAUUGUGGUAGAGAUGAAUGUUGCAUCGUUGGAGACUGCAGAUAUUUUGAGGAAGACUGGGGUUAUGUACAGGCAUUUGGUGACUACCAAGAAUUUGACGGAUGUAAAGGACAAGAGCGUGCAUCAAAGAAACACAGCACUGGAGCAUAUUGAGAAUCAUAAGCUUGAUGGGGUUGUGUAUUUUGCUGAUGAUGAUAGUAUCCAUUCACUCGAGUUAUUCGAGUGCUUGAGAGAAAUCAGGCGUUUUGGUACUUGGCCGGUUGCAAUGUUGGCUCAAACUUGGAAUAAGGUGGAGUUGGAAGGUCCCGUCUGUAAUGGGAGUCAAGUAAUUGGAUGGCAUACAAAUAAGAGUAAAGGACUUCGUAGAUUCCACAUCGAUAUGUCAGGUUUUGCUUUCAAUAGUACAAUAUUGUGGGAUCCAAAAAGAUGGCAACGUCCAACUUCAGAUCCAAUUCGGCAGUUAGAUACUGUGAAGGAGGGUUUUCAUGGAACCACAUUUAUCGAGCAAGUUGUAGAAGAUGAAAGCCAAAUGGAAGGCCUUCCUCUUGGUUGUUCAAAGAUACUGAAUUGGCACCUCAAGCUGGAAGCACGUGAACUUUUUAAUUCUAAAGCUUCACUGCUGCAGAAGAACCUUGAUGCUUGAGCUAAUUGUUGCAAUUUACACUGGCCAAUAUACCUUUUGAUGCAGCAUAUUGUGGUAGACCACCUUCAUCUAAAAGCAGGGCAUUGCAUCAUGUGAUCCUCCACAAGCUGAAGCAGUUCAUGUUGGAACAUAGACGUUGAAGCAAGAAUCAGGAACUUUUGUUUGUAGCUGUUUUCUGUUUUCAUGCCAUUUUUGGUAAUAGCGAGGAACAUUCCGUAUAAUGGUGGAAGGGGAGGAGGAGCAUAGUAGGAACAGGAUCUUCUGCCAGUGUGUUUUCUACGUAAAGCCCCUUGAACUUUUGACUCAGUUCCAAUGAUCACUUUCCUUGCCAAACAAUCUGGAGUCCUUUUCAAUGGGGGCCCAAAAGUCAGACAAUUAUGGAGCAAUCUCUAGUCUUCGAUACAAAGUCCUUUUAGCCUAAAACCUCUUAUCUUUAGCAAAAUUCCUCCAUUGGUUGCUGCGCCAUAGUUACUCUAAAAAGCUAGCAGGCAAGCGAUCCUAUUGCCUCCUAUGCAUACAUCAGGAUGGUAAUAGCUUCUAUAUACUCUGAUGUGGUGGCCUCUUGACUGGUAAUUGUAAAUGAAUUAGGACACAUGAAAAGGAACAAGUCUUUUAUUUUAA